CGCCUCUCCUGGCGUCAGAGGAGAAAUAAUUCAGGGUCUGGGCGUCUUCCCUCCUUCACCUUUUCUAAGGGUAUAUGGCCUGGGCGUCCACCUUCUGUAAACAGAUCACAUCUGGGCCCUCUUUCUGAGUCUUCUGAUUGGCUGGGGUAAGCUGACUCUGGAGGCUAGCCCUGGCAUUUAAGGGGAGGCUGACUUGAGAGCAGGAAGCUUCCCGGCCCUGCCUCUGCCUCUGCUCUCAUCGCUUUGUGGAAGGGACGUAGGUGGCAAAAGGAGGAGCAGAAAUGUGGAAUCCCAAUCCAGGAAUGCCACCCCCAAAUGCCCAGGUCUGUCCACCUCCGGGGCCAGGUGUGCACCCUUCUCCUGGCCCCCCACCUCCUGGCCACCACCCUCAUGGCCCUCCCCCACCUGGCCCAGGAAUAAUGCCAGGAGGACCCGGCUGCCCGCCCCCACCACCUGGUGUCCAUCUUCCUCCUCCUCCUCCUCCAUGGGGUCUUCACAAGCACCAUCACAAACAUGGUCCUGGACACCACUGCCAUAAGCAUCAUCACUGCUGCUCUGAUUCUGACUGAGGUGUGACAGCCAGCCAGAGGGGCCAAUGGAGGGGCUGGCAAUGGGAGCAGCCGCCCCCUGCCCUGCAGCUCUUCCCGUGAUUGGGUCUGCUCCUGCUCUUCCUGCUCUCCCACAGUGAUUUAAUCUGUCUGUACUGAAAUUAAAACGCGGCCAUGUCUGUGGGCUUCUCUGGGAGCUCUGAUUAGAUUUCACUGGUGGCUUUUUUCUUCUGAUGUAACCUUGAAUCAGAGACCAUUGUGUGGGAUGAAGAGCCCAGGCACAUUCUGAGGGGCUGGGUCAUCCUCUCGGCCAGCUACACCCCCCCCCCAGAAGCCUAGGACCAUUCAAGGAUCAUCCCCCAGGAUGCUUUGACUCGCCCCUAGAGUGCAAGAUCCCAAUGGCAGGAGGUAGUUCUCUCACAAGAUGGGAAAGCAAGACCAAACUCGUAGAAGGAGAGAGUCUUAGCUAGUGCCUUGCAGCGGUCCUGAGUGUAGGGGCUGCCCUGAGGAGGCUGUUCCCCAUAAACCUGGGCUGGCUCAUUGCUCCUUAGGCUGUGUCCUGUAGACCAAGGCAGGACCACAGAACAAGGGGCAUCCUCUGUUCCACCCCUCUCCUCCUGACCUCAGAGGCAAUCCAGUCCACCUGCCUCUUCUCCUUCUUCUCAUUCUCUUCUGUCCUUUUCCCUUUCUCCUUCUCUCUUCCUUUAUGCUCCCUUCUUUUUUCUUCUUUACCCUUUCUUCUUCCUUUUCUUCCUUCCUCUUGGCUUCACCUUUUCGGUGUUGCCUCCCCUGUCCAUGAUAGGGGCAGAUUGUGCCCCUUCUUCCCUGAUUGCCCCUGCUUUUUCCCUGUGGGUCCAACUCUCGUGAUUUCUUCAGUCUCCCCCAGUUACCAGCCAGACCCAUCAUCAUGCCUAGUUCUUGAGACACACAAUCCUUAUUUUUCCCAGUCAUGCAAAUGAACAGAAAAGGGAGAUGGCAGGCAAAUAUCCCAGGACAGGCUGCUCUUAAAAUAAGGGGAGAAAACAAAUCAAUACAAACCAAAGGUCAACCAAUACUGUGAAUGGGAGGGGGGUUUCUAAUAUUUGGAGAACCUAAGUAAGCCAUGAACCUAGACUCUGGGGCUCUGUAUUCAAGUCACACAUGGUAACAGACUUUCCGGGAGAGCCGAUCCUCUCAAUUAACUGCUUGGCUUUCCGUUCUUGUCUAUGAAGUGGAGAUGAUGCUUCAGUCACUCUAGAAGAGCAAAGAAGACUGAGCAAAAACACUACAGUAAAAAGCGGUGUGGUGUAAUUGAUAGAGAGCUGACAUCAAAGUCAAGGAGACCUGGAUUCAAGUCCUGCCCCUGACAUAUAAGGGCUGUGUGACCUUGGAUAAGUCUCUUCCCCUCCCAGUGCCAAAGAAAAUUGCCACCCUACAACCCAACCAAACCUCAGUGCUCCAGUGAAUCCCCAUUGUUGAAUACAAGUAAACCUUCAUCACAGUCACUCUUCCCCCCUCUGGAAAACCACACUGCACUUAGAGGCUGUGACAGUGACAAAGGGCCCUUCCUAUUACUGACAUUCCAUUAUAUUUCAUGUUACAGGGAUUACAUAUUUCAUGGCAUUGAGGUCAUUUAUUCAGCAAACAGCACGUGACUGGUGUGCUCAGCUGAGUUCCAGUACCUCUCUACCUUCGUCAGAUGCAUUCAGAUAAGAAGAACUGGGUUUGAAUUCUGCCUCUGGCACCUGGAAAAGUCACUUCACCCAUGUCUGCCUCACUUUCCUGAUCUGUCAAAUGAGGAUGACAAAAGCCCUUACUUCAUAGCAUUGCUGUGAGGAGGAAAUGAGCUAAUAAAUAAGAAGUACUAUGUGAAUGCA
rnacentral:lncRNA from 1 species